UCACCACUCUGGCCUUUCGGCUUAGAUUUAGUGUAGUAUCUGUUCUUAAUAGUUUGACCACUAUUAUGGAGGCACAGCCUCUACUCCUGGUUAUCUAAUUUUUGUCGCCCCAGUUCUUUGUGCUCUGCUUGCACCGGUUGAGCGCGAUGGCCUUGCUUUUGCACUACUUGGUUGUGUUGUCAGGGGGU
rnacentral:snRNA from 1 species